ACCGGCCGCACACGUGGACAAAGCCCACAAUUGAUCCAGAGCAAAAGUGGUUUUGACCAAUCGAAUAUUGUGAGUUCCUGUGGUCAAAUAAAUGGGUGCACCCCUUGGAUCUUAUGGAGUGAUUGUUCCUCAUAGUCCAUAGUACUUUCCCUGCAAUUAGCGCUCACCUGGCAUGUUGGUAAGUGGGGAAAAACAGCAAAACAAACCAGUAACCGCGUGGUCAAGUGGUCGAAAAUAGUUCCAGGGCGUUUGCGGAUAAGUACCGCUGUGAGCGUUCAGGAGAAGAAAAUGGCCACCAUCUACCAGGGAGCAUGUUUUUGGUAAUAUGUUCGGUAGAAGGAAGAACCAGGGGGAAAACAGUUUGUUUGGGGAAAAUAAAGGGAGAUACAGGCAACCGAACGGGGAUAGGACAGGGUCCACCACAGUCUGUGUUGAUUUUUCAAGUAGGCAUUACCUCUAAUCUGCUUAGAUUUGCCCCACAUUUGUCAGGGACUGCUAGGAAAGGGAUUUAAACUCCAGUAACAUAGGGAUUUUAGCUAUUAGUGCAUAGUUUUCAUGUUCCCUACGGAGCUCCAGUGAAAUAUGUUCGCUCUAGUCAGUCGCUAGCUCUGCCUCCCG